rnacentral:rRNA from 1 species
UCGAGGGGUAACAGGAGUGCUUGCACUCGCUGACGACCGGCGCACGGGUGCGUAACGCGUAUAGAACCUACCUUUUACUGAGGGAUAGCCUUUAGAAAUGAAGAUUAAUACCUCAUGGUAUUGUAAACUGGCAUCGGUUUAUAAUUAAAGAUUUAUUGGUAAAAGAUGGCUAUGCGUCUUAUUAGCUAGAUGGUAAGGUAACGGCUUACCAUGGCAACGAUAAGUAGGGGCCCUGAGAGGGGGAUCCCCCACACUGGUACUGAGACACGGACCAGACUCCUACGGGAGGCAGCAGUGAGGAAUAUUGGGCAAUGGAGGCAACUCUGACCCAGCCAUGCCGCGUGCAGGAAGACUGCCCUAUGGGUUGUAAACUGCUUUUAUACAGGAAGAAACUCUGCUACGUGUAGCAGCUUGACGGUACUGUAAGAAUAAGGACCGGCUAACUCCGUGCCAGCAGCCGCGGUAAUACGGAGGGUCCGAGCGUUAUCCGGAAUCAUUGGGUUUAAAGGGUCCGCAGGCGGUCAAUUAAGUCAGAGGUGAAAUCCCAUAGCUCAACUAUGGAACUGCCUUUGAUACUGGUUGACUUGAGUCAUAUGGAAGUAGAUAGAAUGUGUAGUGUAGCGGUGAAAUGCAUAGAUAUUACACAGAAUACCGAUUGCGAAGGCAGUCUACUACGUAUGUACUGACGCUGAGGGACGAAAGCGUGGGGAGCGAACAGGAUUAGAU